rnacentral:RNase_P_RNA from 1 species
UGAGAGGUCCAGGCGGUCGCUUCCGAUUUCGGUCGGGAGAGGAAAGUCCGGACUCCUCGGGUCAGGGUGGUUGCUAACGGCAACCGGUCGCGAGAUCAGGGAAAGUGCCACAGAAAACAAACCGCCUCCCCCUCCUCCGGAAGCCUCCGGAAGAGAGGGAGGUAAGGGUGAAACGGUGCGGUAAGAGCGCACCGCGGCUCUGGUGACAGGGCUGGCAGGGCAAACCCCACCCGGAGAAAGUCCAAGUAGGGAAGCGCUGGCGCCGGCCCGCGCCGUCAAGCUUCCGGGUAGGUCGUUGGAGGUCGGGUGCGAGCUCGAUCCCAGAGAAAUGAUCGCCCUCUUCCUUGUGAAGAGACAGAAUCCGGCUUACAGGGCCUCUCACGCG